AGCAGUAUAGUGUAAUGCUGCACACAGAGUUUCCAUAUGACAGUUUCCUCUUUGGGAUCACCCUGAGGUCCUUGUUCGAACCAAGGUACUGCUA